rnacentral:rRNA from 1 species
AGUCGAACGGAAAGGCCCUGCUUUUGUGGGGUGCUCGAGUGGCGAACGGGUGAGUAACACGUGAGUAACCUGCCCUUGACUUUGGGAUAACUUCAGGAAACUGGGGCUAAUACCGGAUAGGAGCUCCUGCUGCAUGGUGGGGGUUGGAAAGUUUCGGCGGUUGGGGAUGGACUCGCGGCUUAUCAGCUUGUUGGUGGGGUAGUGGCUUACCAAGGCUUUGACGGGUAGCCGGCCUGAGAGGGUGACCGGCCACAUUGGGACUGAGAUACGGCCCAGACUCCUACGGGAGGCAGCAGUGGGGAAUAUUGCACAAUGGGCGGAAGCCUGAUGCAGCAACGCCGCGUGCGGGAUGACGGCCUUCGGGUUGUAAACCGCUUUCGCCUGUGACGAAGCGUGAGUGACGGUAAUGGGUAAAGAAGCACCGGCUAACUACGUGCCAGCAGCCGCGGUGAUACGUAGGGUGCGAGCGUUGUCCGGAUUUAUUGGGCGUAAAGGGCUCGUAGGUGGUUGAUCGCGUCGGAAGUGUAAUCUUGGGGCUUAACCCUGAGCGUGCUUUCGAUACGGGUUGACUUGAGGAAGGUAGGGGAGAAUGGAAUUCCUGGUGGAGCGGUGGAAUGCGCAGAUAUCAGGAGGAACACCAGUGGCGAAGGCGGUUCUCUGGGCCUUUCCUGACGCUGAGGAGCGAAAGCGUGGGGAGCGAACAGGCUUAGAUACCCUGGUAGUCCACGCUGUAAACGGUGGGUACUAGGUGUGGGGUCCAUUCCACGGGUUCCGUGCCGUAGCUAACGCUUUAAGUACCCCGCCUGGGGAGUACGGCCGCAAGGCUAAAACUCAAAGGAAUUGACGGGGCCCCGCACAAGCGGCGGAGCAUGCGGAUUAAUUCGAUGCAACGCGUAGAACCUUACCUGGGUUUGACAUGGAUCGGGAGUGCUCAGAGAUGGGUGUGCCUCUUUUGGGGUCGGUUCACAGGUGGUGCAUGGCUGUCGUCAGCUCGUGUCGUGAGAUGUUGGGUUAAGUCCCGCAACGAGCGCAACCCUUGUUCACUGUUGCCAGCACGUUAUGGUGGGGACUCAGUGGAGACCGCCGGGGUCAACUCGGAGGAAGGUGGGGAUGACGUCAAGUCAUCAUGCCCCUUAUGUCCAGGGCUUCACGCAUGCUACAAUGGCUGGUACAGAGAGUGGCGAGCCUGUGAGGGUGAGCGAAUCUCGGAAAGCCGGUCUCAGUUCGGAUUGGGGUCUGCAACUCGACCUCAUGAAGUCGGAGUCGCUAGUAAUCGCAGAUCAGCAACGCUGCGGUGAAUACGUUCCCGGGGCUUGUACACACCGCCCGUCAAGUCAUGAAAGUUGGUAACACCCGAAGCCGGUGGCCUAACCGUUGUGGGGGAGCCGUCGAAGGUGGGACUGGUGAUUAGGACUAAGUCG